rnacentral:rRNA from 1 species
UACGGAGGGAGCUAGCGUUGUUCGGAAUUACUGGGCGUAAAGCGCACGUAGGCGGCUUCGUAAGUCGGAUGUGGAAUCCCUCGGCUCAACCGUGGAAGUGCAUUCGAAACUGCAGGGCUAGAGUCCUGGAGAGGAAGGUGGAAUGCUUGGUGUAGAGGUGAAAUUCGUAGAUAUCAAGCGGAACACCGGUGGCGAAGGCGGCCUUCUGGACAGUGACUGACGCUGAGACGCGAAAGCGUGGGGAGCAAACAGG